AAGGUGUGCCUGCAGUCUACAAGAGCCUUUAUGAGGAUGAAAGGCUGCAAGGUGUCAAGAUGGACAUGCAGCACCCUCCCCCAUAAUCGCCAACAAGACAGCACAUCCUGUGGUGUCCUGGCCUUAAAAUUUGCAGAGAAGAUUUUACUGGGGGAGUCAAUUGAGUUUGAAAGCUCACAGAAGGCAGUGCACGAGCUGAGGCUGGACAUUGCUACUUCUCUCCUCAGAGAAUCUGAUGAUCUAAGCAGGCUUUGCUUUUACUGCGGGAUGGAGGAGCAGGAUGAAGAA